rnacentral:rRNA from 1 species
UACGUAGGUGGCAAGCGUUAUCCGGAUUUAUUGGGUUUAAAGGGUGCGUAGGCGGCUUGAUAAGUCAGUGGUGAAAGCCGAUCGCUUAACGAUCGAACUGCCAUUGAUACUGCCAGGCUUGAGUAUAGAUGAGGUAGGCGGAAUUGACAGUGUAGCGGUGAAAUGCAUAGAUAUUGUCAAGAACACCAAUUGCGAAGGCAGCUUACUAAGUUAUAACUGACGCUGAGGCACGAAAGUGCGGGGAUCAAACAGG